rnacentral:rRNA from 1 species
UACGGAGGGUGCAAGCGUUAUCCGGAUUUACUGGGUUUAAAGGGUGCGUAGGUGGGUAGGAAAGUCAGUGGUGAAAUCUUCGGGCUUAACCCGGAAACUGCCAUUGAUACUAUUUAUCUUGAAUACUUUGGAGGUAAGCGGAAUAUGUCAUGUAGCGGUGAAAUGCUUAGAUAUGACAUAGAACACCAAUUGCGAAGGCAGCUCACUAAGCAGACAUUGACGCUGAGGCACGAAAGCGUGGGGAUCAAACAGG